rfam:Hordeum vulgare subsp. vulgare, WGS project CAJW01000000 data, contig: morex_contig_56914
CAAAUACUCUCUCCGUUUCAAAAUUCUUGUCUUAGAUUUAUUUAAAUAUAAAUGCAUCUAGUCACGUUUUAGUAUUUAGAUACAUUCAUUUUUAAACAAAUUUAAGACAAGAAUUUUAGGAUGGAGGGAGUACUAA